ensembl:snRNA RNU2-17P RNA, U2 small nuclear 17, pseudogene
AUCGCUUCUCUGCCUUUUGGCUAAGAUCAAGUGUAGGAUCUGUUCUUAACAGUUUAAUAUCUGAUAUAUUUUCUAUCCGAGUCCAAUAUAUUAAAUGGAUUUGGGGAGCAGGAAGACGGAAUAGGAGCUUGCUUGUUCACUUCACGCAUCGAUCUGGUAUUGCAGUACCUCCAGGAACAGUGCACCCCCU